rnacentral:tRNA from 1 species
CGAAAUGGCUCAGUUGGUAGAGCAAUUGAUUCGUAAUCAAUAGGUCGUGGGUUCGAGUCCCAUUUUCGG